AACAAAGAAGAAGAAGCUCUCUGUACCCUUCUUCCCUCUUUUUAAUUAUUUUCUGAGAAUUUUCCAUUCCUUUCCACCAUUUUCUGUUAAGCCAAACUGUGGAACCAAAUUUUGAUUAGUGAACGGUGAAUGUUGAGGAUCUGCAACUUUUUAAACAUUGAAUAAGGUGUAUGUUAGCGGAGGAUUUGACAGAAUUUGUCAGAAUCUCAUUGUUAAUUUUCUUCAGAAGAUUUCGUUCGUUCAUUUGUGAUAUUUAAAGAUAUAUUGCUGAGUUUUGCACUCUCUGGUAAAUUAUAGAGACGAUAAUGUGUUGCCUGAGUUUGUACUUGUUGCCGCGGUCGCAGAUCGAAGCUCUGAAAUGUCGUGUUUAGUUGUAUUUUAGGAAUAGAUUUGCAUUUUUCGAAGCUUCACAACUGAAACCAGCGAGUUUUUUCAGGGUUUGACGAAAUCAUAUUAAUUUAGGUAGGAAGGGGAGAUGGAUAAAGAGUCACAUAACAACCAUGUCAAUAGCAACAACAUUCCUAGCGUCAGAGAUAAAGACAAAAGCGGAGGAAGUGAUGGGUCCGGGUCGUUGUUAUUGAGGGCUAGCUCCGACGGCAUCAGGCAAUCAACAACGCCAGACUUGGUGCUUCAGUGGGGUAACCGGAAGCGACUAAGGUGCAUGAAGGUGCAGGUCAAACACGACUCUUCCAACCCGGUUCAGAGAACAACGGUUCGGGUAGAUCGGCGGGUAGUUAGAACCGAGAAAGAUUCUUCAAAUAGACCCAUACCCCCCGUCACUAAUUAUAACAAUAAUAACAUUCAUAAUAAUAUUAAUCAGAGUAACGGGUAUUUGAAUCUCCGUCAACGCCCCCCUUCGCCACAGCAACCUCCUCCACGCAUUCUCAGGUAUUUAUUUGUACUUUCCCUCUUGCGAUUCUUGUCUUACUUUAUUUAUAUAUAUAUUGAGAUCCUUGAAAUGUUAAUUUAAUCAUAAAUUAUUUAUAAAAUAAAAAAUAAUAGUGAUUAAACAAGAAUGGGAUGCUUUUCUUUUUAAUAUUUUUCAGGGAAAGAAGUGUUUUCUUUGUUCUUAUCGAUAUUUCUAAUUAUAAAAAAUUAAAUUUGGUUUUAUUCCUAUCCAAUGCAUGACUUAUGGCUUCAGAUCUAGUCAAAUAUUCGGUAAGCUUGUAGGAAAUAAAUUCUUCAUAGGAUUUGUAUGGAAGUUGUCGAUUCAUGUCUGCCAUAAAAUUUGCGGGGGCCGACUAUAUGCGAUGAAGGCAACAUGUAAGUCUCGAAUGUCAGUCGCGGAAUCUUCAGCUUCAAAUGUUACUGUGAAUAUGAAAAAAAUUGGGCGUUGCUGGCUGGUGCCCCAGUUAGACGAUGUUCCUGUCUUUUUAAGUAGCAUUGAAGAUAUUUGCUUCAUUUGGGCUGAAUAUUUAUCAUGACCAUGAGACUUAUAUUUUGUCCACUCUCCAAUUGGUCAGGUCCUCGCGGACGUCUCAUCCAAACCAAAGAGGAGCUCACGGAAUUCGGAGACUUCAACUGCUAUGAGAGGAGGCCAAAGCAACGGGAGUGUUAGGGGAAUUGCCUCACCGGACAGAGGUGCGCACGAUAAGAGGGGGACCCAUAACAACCACCUUAAUGACAAUAAUAACAAGUUUGCUGUCUCAUCAGAUAUAGCACACGAUAGUAAGAAAGGUAGCGGGUCGCCGUCGGGUAGUGGCGAUGCGGCUCCGGCGGUGUGGCUGCCCAAGUUUGUGAUUUCCUUGACCAACAAGGAGAAGGAAGAAGAUUUCCUUGCCUUAAAGGGGUCAAAGCUGCCUCAGAGACCCAAAAAGAGAGCAAAACUCAUACAACGAACCCUCAAUCUCGUAAGUCCAGGCACGUGGCUAUGCGAUCUUACUUUGGAACGAUAUGAAGUUAGGGAGAAAAAAAUAUCCAAAAAGGUAAAUUAAAGAGAGAGAGCAAGAAAAACAAGGAAAAAGAUCUCCUCAUAUUCAAAAUCGAAUAUGACGGUCGCGAAUGUUAAAAAAUACAUGAACAUGUUCGAUUUUGAACAUGAGUGGAUCUGGAAAAACAAGGCAUUACCCGCUUCUUGUGUUUUGUAUCAUAUCUCGAUGCAUGAAUUAACGGCCAGCAAAUUUGGAAUUUUAUGCAGAGGCCAAGAGGGUUGAAAGCAAUGGGCAACAUGGACUCCGACUCUGAAUAGAAGCAUGGAAAUGAGUGUUGUUAUGUUGGGUAUGGGGGUGAGAAAUGCUUUGUUGUUUAGAUAGUGUAAAGCAUUGCAUCGCAUCCCAGUGUGCCAAGAAAUCAAAAUCAAAUAUAAAUGACUUUCGCUUAGUUUCUAAUU